UAUCUAAUCGCGCUCCUAGUUAGAUGUAUGAUUUUAAAUUAUAAAUCUUCUAAAAAUGUAUACUAUAUAGAUUUAUGUUUUAAGUAUUUCUAGUUAAUUUGAGCCAUAGACAAAUAUUUACAUAAAAUUAUUAAAUUGUUGGGCCUUAUAUUUAAAGUAUUUAUAUAAUUCUUAUUUAAUACUAGGCCUUUUAUUAUUGUCCAAAUUUUAUGAUGCACCUAAAAUAGUUAUUAAGUUAAAAUAUUUAUAACUUAUCAACUAAAAGAAUGAGAAUUGCUUGUGCAGACUCCAAUCCAUAUUCCAUAUUUUAUUCUCAAUUCCAUUUGUAUUUAAAUAUUCAAUUCAAUCUCUCCAUCCUUUUUCCUCUGAAACUUAUAAAACACAAAACACGAUUCGAUUUCCUCCUUAGCCACACAUAUCAGUAUUCGCAGUAUUUGACAAACAUCACAGCAUGCCAAACUUGAAUUAAAUUUCCUUUCCGUAAGAUUUGAUUUUCUUCCACAAGCAGCAAAUUUUUGAUUUCUUUCACAUUCAAAUCUUUGACGAACGAGUAUAUUCAAUCUAUUUAAACCUCAAUUCCUCACCCCCAACUCACCUCUUCAUCUGUUCAUUUAACUAAAAUCUGCAGAUUCUCCCUACGAAUCCCAACUGGUGCGGCGCGACUAGGACAUAACUGUUGAUCUGAAAUUAUUCAAGUUAUCUAUCAAAUCCAUAUUUUCAGGUGUGGGAUUUAUUUCAGUACAUGCACGUGGUUAAUAUUUGUCCAUUUUAAUAUUAUGUGUUUACCGUAUGUGUUGUAAAAAUAUUUAUCGCUAGGGGCCAGCAUAAUUGGUCCAGGACUUCACCGUCCUUGGUAUGCCACAAUGCGAUUUCAUGUUACAGGGUUGCAACCAUUAUAUUGUCGCCAGGGGCCCACAUAUAGGGUCCGGGACAUUAAAGUCCUUGGAUUGCCACAGUGCGUAUGGAAUUUAUGUUACGUUAUGACAAUAUGUGUUACCAUUUUAUUAACAUGGACAAUUAUUGCAUGUUCCCACACUGAGUGUACCUUGUAUGCUCAUCCCAUAUUCAACAGUUUUAGGUGAUUGAUACUGGAGGCGCGUGGAGAGUCGAAUGGGCGCGUCGAAUCUAUUUAAAGAUAAAUGUUUCUUAAAACAUAUUAUGUUAUUUCAUGUGAUAUCUUUUGGUUAUGUAAACUCUGAAAUUCUAUACUAUUUGAGAUUUGUGUGUGAUUUAUUUAAAUAAAUGUUGUUAUAUUAUUUUAAUGUCAUGACUUGUUUAAUUUAUAUUUAAAUUCAUUUCAAAUA